ACAAAUAAUCUAUGCAGUGGUGUCACAAAUAAUCUAUGCAGAGGAGUCACAAAUAAUCUAUGCAGGGGAGUAACAAAUAAUUCAUGCAGAGGAGUCAUAAAUAAUCUAUGCAGAGGAGUCACAAAUAAUCUAUGCAAAGAAGUCACAAAUAAUCUAUGCAGAGGAGUCACAAAUAAUCUAUGCAGAGGAGUCACAAAUAAUCUAUGCAGAGGAGUCACAAAUAAUCUAUGCAGAGGAGUCACAAAUAAUCUAUGCAGAGGAAUCACAAAUAAUCUAUGCAGAGGAAUCACAAAUAAUCUGUACAGAGGAGUCACAAAAAAUCUAUGCUGAGGAGUCACAAAUAAUCUAUGCAGAGUAGUCACAAAUAAUCUAUGCAGAGGAGUCACAAAUAAUUUAUGCAGAGGACUCACAAAUAAUCUAUGCAGAGGAGUCACAAAUAAUCUAUGCAGAGGAGUCACAAAUAAUCUAUGCAGAGGAGUCACAAAUAAUCUAUGCAGAGGAGUCACAAACAAUCUAUGCAGAGGAGUCACGAAUAAUCUAUGCAGAGGAGUCACGAAUAAUCUAUGCAGAGGAGUCACGAAUAAUCUAUGCAGAGGAGUCACAAAUAAUCUAUGCAGGGAGUCAACAAAUAAUCUAUGCAGAGGAGUCACAAAUAAUCUAUGCAGAGGUGUCACAAAUAAUCUAUGCAGAGGAAUCACAAAUAAUCUAUGCAGAGGAAUCACAAAUAAUCUGUACAGAGGAGUCACAAAUAAUCUAUGCUGAGGAGUCACAAAUAAUCUAUGCAGAGUAGUCACAAAUAAUCUAUGCAGAGGAGUCACAAAUAAUCUAUGCAGAGGAGUCACAAAUUAUCUAUACAGAGGAGUUACGAAUAAUUUAUGCAGAGGAGUCACGAAUAAUCUAUGCAGAGGAGUCAUAAAUAAUCUAUACAGAGGAGUCAUAAAGGAUCUAUGCAGUGGAGUCACGAAUAAUCUAUGCGGAGGAGUCACAAAUAAUCUAUGCAGUGGUGUCACAAAUAAUCUAUGCAGAGGAGUCACAAAUAAUCUAUGCAGGGGAGUAACAAAUAAUCUAUGCAGAGGAGUCACA
rnacentral:lncRNA from 1 species